AGAGUUUGAUCCUGGCUCAGGAUGAACGCUGGCGGCGUGCUUAACACAUGCAAGUCGAACGAAGCACUCUAUUUGAUUUUCUUCGGAUGAAGACUUUUGUGACUGAGCGGCGGACGGGUGAGUAACGCGUGGGUAACCUGGCUCAUACAGGGGGAUAACAGUCAGAAAUGACUGCUAAUACCGCAUAAGACCACGGUACCGCAUGGUACAGUGGUAAAAACUCCGGUGGUAUGAGAUGGACCCGCGUCUGAUUAGGUAGUUGGUGGGGUAACGGCCUACCAAGCCGACGAUCAGUAGCCGACCUGAGAGGGUGACCGGCCACAUUGGGACUGAGACACGGCCCAGACUCCUACGGGAGGCAGCAGUGGGGAAUAUUGCACAAUGGAGGAAACUCUGAUGCAGCGACGCCGCGUGAAGGAUGAAGUAUUUCGGUAUGUAAACUUCUAUCAGCAGGGAAGAAAAUGACGGUACCUGACUAAGAAGCCCCGGCUAACUACGUGCCAGCAGCCGCGGUAAUACGUAGGGGGCAAGCGUUAUCCGGAUUUACUGGGUGUAAAGGGAGCGUAGACGGCACGGCAAGCCAGAUGUGAAAGCCCGGGGCUCAACCCCGGGACUGCAUUUGGAACUGCUGAGCUAGAGUGUCGGAGAGGCAAGUGGAAUUCCUAGUGUAGCGGUGAAAUGCGUAGAUAUUAGGAGGAACACCAGUGGCGAAGGCGGCUUGCUGGACGAUGACUGACGUUGAGGCUCGAAAGCGUGGGGAGCAAACAGGAUUAGAUACCCUGGUAGUCCACGCCGUAAACGAUGACUGCUAGUGGUCGGGUGGCAAAGCCAUUCGGUGCAGCAGCGGAACGCAAUAAGCGUUCCGCCUGGGGGGGUACGUUCGCAAGAAUGAAACUCAAAGGAAUCGACGGGGACCCCGCACAAGCCGUGGAGCAUGUGGUUUAGUUCGAAGCAACGCGAAGAACUUUACGUGAUGUUGAGAUGUAGAUGAGGGUUUGGUAAUGGAAGUUUUUUUUUGGAGUAUGGGUGAAAGGUGGUGGAUGGUUGUGGUCAGAUAGUGUUGUGAGAUGUUGGGUUAA
rnacentral:rRNA from 1 species